rnacentral:rRNA from 1 species
ACGGCAGCACGGGACUCAGGCAACUGAGCCCUGGUGGCGAGUGGCGAACGGGUGAGUAACAUAUCGGAACGUACCCAGUCGUGGGGGAUAACUCUCCGAAAGGAGAGCUAAUACCGCAUACGUCCUGAGGGAGAAAGCGGGGGACCUGCAAGGGCCUCGCGCGAUUGGAGCGGCCGAUAUCGGAUUAGCUAGUUGGUGGGGUAAAGGCUCACCAAGGCGACGAUCCGUAGCGGGUCUGAGAGGACGACCCGCCACACUGGAACUGAGACACGGUCCAGACUCCUACGGGAGGCAGCAGUGGGGAAUUUUGGACAAUGGGGGCAACCCUGAUCCAGCCAUUCCGCGUGAGUGAAGAAGGCCUUCGGGUUGUAAAGCUCUUUCAGCAGGAACGAAACGGUCGGCUUUAAUAAAGUCGGCUAAUGACGGUACCUGCAGAAGAAGCACCGGCUAACUACGUGCCAGCAGCCGCGGUAAUACGUAGGGUGCGAGCGUUAAUCGGAAUUACUGGGCGUAAAGCGUGCGCAGGCGGCGACAUAAGACAGAUGUGAAAUCCCCGGGCUCAACCUGGGAACUGCGUUUGUGACUGUGUUGCUAGAGUGUAGCAGAGGGGGGUGGAAUUCCACGUGUAGCAGUGAAAUGCGUAGAGAUGUGGAGGAACACCGAUGGCGAAGGCAGCCCCCCUGGGUUAACACUGACGCUCAUGCACGAAAGCGUGGGGAGCAAACAGGAUUAGAUACCCUGGUAGAAUCACUAGUGAAUUC